CUAGUAUGGAGCGUUCAAGGAGUGUACAAUUGCAUGUGUUUCGUGUGUAUUUCGUUUAGUUUUAACCAAAUUCUGGUGGCUUUGGAUUGGAAUUUGUAGACGAAUGGGAAGCAAAGUAUAACCGCCAUGGUUCAAUACAGUGUCGACAGUUACCUUCUCGGAUAUUAAAUAGGUGUAGACUACUGGGAUAAGCAGUAACGAAAUUCACUGGCAAUUUUGAAAAGGAAGGAUAUUAAUGGACAAUGGAGGAGGAAAAACUACCUGGAUUGGGUUAAGAUUGCCCAAAGAUGAGAAAUAUACAACCAACAGUGUGCAUGCUGUGAUUGUGGUUGAAGCAAUCUGUCAAACCUAGUGGGGAAAUUGAAUUACAAAUGGCCUUUAAAAGUAUUCAAGUAUCACGGUUGGAAUUAAGACUUGGGAAAAUUGAAGUGAAUGGUUAACCUACACCUAAUGGCAGAUUUGGGAAAGAUUUGACUAUUUGUAAGGUGCAUAGCAGGCAGCUGGCGGCGACAGUGAGAUUAUCCGUAGAACACAUCUUUCAAGGAAAUUCAGAGUAAGUUGCAAGAAAUUUCACGUACUGGGGUCCUCAGAAAUCAAAGUGCAGCAUAGGACACAGC